CUUGCACCGGGUGGCGAUGUGGCGGACGGGUGAGUAACACGUAGGAAUCUGCCUGGUAGUGGGGGAUAACCCGGGGAAACUCGGGCUAAUACCGCAUACGCUCUACGGAGGAAAGCGGGGGAUCGCAAGACCUCGCGCUAUCAGAUGAGCCUGCGUCGAUUAGCUAGUUGGUGGGGUAAAGGCCACCAAGGCGACGAUCGGUAGCUGGUCUGAGAGGACGAUCAGCCACACUGGAACUGAGACACGGUCCAGACUCCUACGGGAGGCAGCAGUGGGGAAUAUUGGACAAUGGGCGCAAGCCUGAUCCAGCAAUGCCGCGUGUGUGAAGAAGGCCUGCGGGUUGUAAAGCACUUUAAGCAGGAAAGAAGGCCUCAAGGCUAAUAUCCUUGAGGAUUGACGUUACCUGCAGAAUAAGCACCGGCUAACUCCGUGCCAGCAGCCGCGGUAAUACGGAGGGUGCGAGCGUUAAUCGGAAUUACUGGGCGUAAAGCGCGCGUAGGCGGUUUGCUAAGUCCGCUGUGAAAGCCCCGGGCUUAACCUGGGAACUGCAGUGGAUACUGGCAGGCUAGAGUAUGGUAGAGGAUAGUGGAAUUUCCGGUGUAGCAGUGAAAUGCGUAGAGAUCGGAAGGAACACCCGUGGCGAAGGCGGCUAUCUGGACCAAUACUGACGCUGAGGGGCGAAAGCGUGGGGAGCAAACAGGAUUAGAUACCCUGGUAGUCCACCCGUAAACGAUGAGAACUAGCCGUUGGGCAUCCUUUGGGAGUUUAGUGGCGCAGCUAACACGAUAAGUUCUCCGCCUGGGGAGUACGGCCGCAAGGUUAAAACAUCUCAAUGAAUUGACGGGGGCCCGCACAAGCGGUGGAGCAUGUGGUUUAAUUCGAUACACACGAAGAACCUUACCUGGCCUUGACAUCCCAGAGAACUUUCCAGAGAUGGAUUGGAUGCCUCUCGGGAACUCUGAGACAGGUGCUGCAUGGUUGUCGUCAGCUCGUGUCGUGAGAUGUUGGGUUAAGUCCCGUAACGAGCGCAACCCUCGUCCCUAGUUACCAUCAUUAAGUUGGGAACUCUAGGGAGACCGCCGGUGAUAAACCGGAGGAAGUUGGGGAUGACGUCAAGUCAUCAUGCCCCUUAUGGUCAGGGCUACACACGUGCUACAAUGCUCGGUACAGAGGCUUGCCAACCCGCGAGUUGGAGCCAAUCCCACAAACCCGUUCGUAGUCCGGAUUGGAGUCUACAACUCAACUCCAUGAAGUCG
rnacentral:rRNA from 1 species